ensembl:rRNA 5S_rRNA 5S ribosomal RNA
GCUUACGGCCAUACCACCCUGAAAACGCCCGAUCUCGUCUGAUCUCGAAAGCUAAGCAGGGUCGGGCCUGGUUAGUACUUGGAUCGGAGACCGCCUGGGAAUACCAGGUGCUGUAAGCU